rnacentral:rRNA from 1 species
UACGGAGGUUGCAAGCGUUGUUCGGAAUGACUGGGCGUAAAGGGAGCGCAGGCGGCCAAGUCAGUCUGAAGUGAAAGCCCGGGGCUUAACCCCGGAAUAGCUUUGGAUACUGCCUGGCUUGAGUGUGCGAUAGGAAAGCGGAAUUCCAGGUGUAGCGGUGAAAUGCGUAGAUAUCUGGAGGAACACCGGUGGCGAAAGCGGCUUUCUGGCGCAUAACUGACGCUGAGGCUCGAAAGCGUGGGGAGCGAACGGGAUUAGAUACCCUGGUA